AAACGUAGGAGGCGAGCGUUAUCCGGAUUCACUGGGUGUAAAGCGCAUGCAGGCGGUUCGCUAAGUUGGGUGUGAAAGCUCCUGGCUCAACUGGGAGAGGUCGCUCAAGACUGACGAACUAGAGGACGGUAAGGGGAAGCGGAAUUCCGGGUGUAGUGGUGAAAUGCGUAGAUAUCCGGAGGAACACCAGUGGCGAAAGCGGCUUCCUGGCCCAUUUCUGACGCUCAGACGCGAAAGCUAGGGUAGC
rnacentral:rRNA from 1 species